rnacentral:rRNA from 1 species
AUUGAACGCUGGCGGCAUGCCUUACACAUGCAAGUCGAACGGUAACAGGUCUUCGGAUGCUGACGAGUGGCGAACGGGUGAGUAAUACAUCGGAACGUGCCCGAUCGUGGGGGAUAACGCAGCGAAAGCUGUGCUAAUACCGCAUACGACCUACGGAUGAAAGCGGGGGAUCGCAAGACCUCGCGCGGACGGAGCGGCCGAUGGCAGAUUAGGUAGUUGGUGGGGUAAAGGCUCACCAAGCCUGCGAUCUAUAGCUGGUCUGAGAGGACGACCAGACACACUGGGACUGAGACACGGCCCAGACUCCUACGGGAGGCAGCAGUGGGGAAUUUUGGACAAUGGGCGCAAGCCUGAUCCAGCCAUGCAGCGUGCAGGAUGAAGGCCUUCGGGUUGUAAACUGCUUUUGUACGGAACGAAAAGACCUUUUCUAAUAAAGAGGGUCCAUGACGGUACCGUAAGAAUAAGCACCGGCUAACUACGUGCCAGCCGCCGCAGUAACAC